UACAGAGACUGCAAGCGUUAUUCGGAUUCACUGGGCGUAAAGGGUGCGCAGGCGGUUGGGUGUGUCAGAUGUGAAAUCCCGAGGCUUAACCUCGGAACUGCGUCUGAAACUACUCGACUAGAGUACUGGAGAGGGUAACGGAAUUCACGGUGUAGCAGUGAAAUGCGUAGAUAUCGUGAGGAACACCAGAGGCGAAGGCGGUUACCUGGACAGUUACUGACGCUGAGGAGCGAAAGCCAGGGGAGCAAACGGG
rnacentral:rRNA from 1 species